rnacentral:rRNA from 1 species
AUUGAACGCUGGCGGCAGGCCUAACACAUGCAAGUCGAACGAGUGGCGGACGGGUGAGUAAUGUCUGGGAAACUGCCUGAUGGAGGGGGAUAACUACUGGAAACGGUAGCUAAUACCGCAUACCCUCGGAGGUGCCCAGAUGGGAUUAGCUAGUAGGUGGGGUACAGGCUCACCUAGGCGACGAUCCCUAGCUGGGCUGAGAGGAUGACCGGCCACCCUGGAACGGAGACACGGUCCAGACUCCUACGGGAGGAGGCAGUGGGGAAUAUUGCACAAGGGGCGCAAGCCUGAUGCAGCCAGGCCGCGUGUAUGAAGAAGGCCUUCGGUUUGUAAAGUACUUUCAGCGGGGAGGCGUUACCCGCAGAAGAAGCACCGGCUAACUCCGUGCCAGCAGCCGCGGUAAUUC